CCCUUCGGGACAGAGAGACAGGUGGUGCAUGGUUGUCGUCAGCUCGUGUCGUGAGAUGUUGGGUUAAGUCCCGCAACGAGCGCAACCCCUGUGGUUAGUUGCCAUCAUUUGGUUGGGCACUCUAAGCAGACUGCCGUGGAUAACACGGAGGAAGGUGGGGACGACGUCAAAUCAUCAUGCCCCUUAUGACCUGGGCUACACACGUGCUACAAUGGUCUGAACAGAGGGCUGCGAAACCGCGAGGUGAAGCUAAUCCCUUAAAACAGAUCUCAGUUCGGAUUGCAGGCUGCAACUCGCCUGCAUGAAGUUGGAGUUGCUAGUAAUCGCAGAUCAGAAUGCUGCGGUGAAUGCGUUCCCGGGUCUU
rnacentral:rRNA from 1 species